rnacentral:rRNA from 1 species
UACGUAGGGACCGAGCGUUGUCCGGAAUCAUUGGGCGUAAAGAGCGUGUAGGCGGCCUGUUAAGUCUUGCGUGAAAUCUCGGGGCUCAACCCCGAGCGGUCGUGAGAAACUGGCAGGCUAGAGUGCGGGAGAGGAGAGUGGAAUUCCUGGUGUAGCGGUGAAAUGCGCAGAUAUCAGGAAGAACACCCGUGGCAAGGCGGCUCCUCUGGUAAGCGGCAACUGACGCUGAGACGCGAAAGCGUGGGGAGCAA